rnacentral:rRNA from 1 species
UACGUAGGUGACCAGCGUUGUCCGGAAUUACUGGGCGUAAAGCGUGCGCAGGCGGUUAUGUAAGACAGGUGUGAAAUCCCCGGGCUCAACCUGGGAACUGCAUCUGUGACUGCAUAGCUAGAGUACGGUAGAGGGGGAUGGAAUUCCGCGUGUAGCAGUGAAAUGCGUAGAUAUGCGGAGGAACACCGAUGGCGAAGGCAAUCCCCUGGACCUGUACUGACGCUCAUGCACGAAAGCGUGGGGAGCAAACAGG